GGUGGCCCUUAUCGAACCUUAUCGAAGCUGCAGCGUCUUCUACAUAGCUGCUGUGGUAAAAAAAAAAAAAAAAAAAAAAAAAAAAAAAAAAAAAACAAAACCAGAGAAACAAUUUUCCUUGAUGGUUGCAGCUCUGUUUCCUGUAACUGAUCAUUUUGGGAAAAGACAGCU